UAGGCAGCUACCAUGCAAGUCGAGGGGUAACAUAGAAAAGCUUGCUUUUCUGAUGACGACCGGCGCACGGGUGCGUAACGCGUAUACAACCUACCUUUUAGCGGGGAAUAGCCCAGGGAAACUUGGAUUAAUGCCCCAUAGUAUAUAGACUUCUCCUGAAGUUUAUAUUAAACAUUUAUGGCUAUUAGAUGGGUAUGCGUCCUAUUAGUUAGUUGGUAAGGUAACGGCUUACCAAGGCAGCGAUAGGUAGGGGUCCUGAGAGGGAGAUCCCCCACACUGGUACUGAGACACGGACCAGACUCCUACGGGAGGCAGCAGUGAGGAAUAUUGGACAAUGGGCGAGAGCCUGAUCCAGCCAUGCCGCGUGCAGGAAGACUGCCCUAUGGGUUGUAAACUGCUUUUACAGAGGAAGAACCACCCCCACGUGUGGGGGUUUGACGGUACUCUGCGAAUAAGGAUCGGCUAACUCCGUGCCAGCAGCCGCGGUAAUACGGAGGAUCCAAGCGUUAUCCGGAAUCAUUGGGUUUAAAGGGUCCGUAGGCGGGCAGUUAAGUCAGUGGUGAAAGUCUUCCGCUCAACGGGAGAACUGCCAUUGAUACUGAUUGUCUUGAGUUAUUAUGAAGUGGUUAGAAUGAGUAGUGUAGCGGUGAAAUGCAUAGAUAUUACUCAGAAUACCGAUUGCGAAGGCAGAUCACUAAUAAUAUACUGACGCUGAUGGACGAAAGCGUAGGUAGCGAACAGGAUUAGAUACCCUGGUAGUCUACGCCGUAAACGAUGGUUACUAGCUGUUCGGCCCAAUUGAGGGCUGAGUGGUUAAGCGAAAGUGAUAAGUAACCCACCUGGGGAGUACGUUCGCAAGAAUGAAACUCAAAGGAAUUGACGGGGGCCCGCACAAGCGGUGGAGCAUGUGGUUUAAUUCGAUGAUACGCGAGGAACCUUACCAGGGCUUAAAUGUAGUCUGACAGGUCUGGAAACAGACUUUUCUUCGGACAGAUUACAAGGUGCUGCAUGGUUGUCGUCAGCUCGUGCCGUGAGGUGUCAGGUUAAGUCCUAUAACGAGCGCAACCCCUGUGGUUAGUUGCCAGCGAGUAAUGUCGGGAACUCUAGCCAGACUGCCGGUGCAAACCGCGAGGAAGGUGGGGAUGACGUCAAAUCAUCACGGCCCUUACGUCCUGGGCCACACACGUGCUACAAUGGUAGGGACAGAGAGCAGCCACUUCGCGAGAAGGAGCGAAUCUACAAACCCUAUCACAGUUCGGAUCGCAGUCUGCAACUCGACUGCGUGAAGCUGGAAUCGCUAGUAAUCGCAUAUCAGCCAUGAUGCGGUGAAUACGUUCCCGGGCCUUGUACACACCGCCCGUCAAGCCAUGGAAGCCGGGGGUACCUGAAGUCGGUCACCGCAAGGAGCCGCCUAGGAAAU
rnacentral:rRNA from 1 species